rnacentral:rRNA from 1 species
GAUUCCUACGGGAGGCAGCAGUGAGGAAUUUUCUGCAAUGGGCGCAAGCCUGACAGAGCAAUACCGCGUGAGGGAUGAAGACUUACUGAGUUGUAAACCUCGGUGCCUUAAGGAAGAAGAUCUGACGGUACUUAAGGUGGAAAGCAUCGGCUAACUCCGUGCCAGCAGCCGCGGUAAGACGGGGGAUGCAAGUGUUAUCCGGAUUUACUGGGCGUAAAGCGUCUGCAGGUGGUUUCUUAAGUCUACUGUUAAAUCUUGAGGCUCAACCUCAAAUCUGCAGUAGAAACUAGGAGACUUGAGUAUAGUAGGGGUAGAGGGAAUUUCCAGUGGAGCGGUGAAAUGCGUAGAUAUUGGAAAGAACACCGAUGGCGAAGGCACUCUACUGGGCUAUUACUGACACUCAGAGACGAAAGCUAGGGGAGCAAAUGGGAUUAGAUACCCCAGUAGUCCUAGCCGUAAACGAUGGAUACUCGAUGUUGGACGUAUCGACCCGUUCAGUAUCUUAGCUAACGCGUUAAGUAUCCCGCCUGGGGAGUACGCUCGCAAGAGUGAAACUCAAAGGAAUUGACGGAAUC